AUUGAACGCUGGCGGCAGGCCUAACACAUGCAAGUCGAGCGAGCGGCGGACGGGUGAGUAAUGUAUGGGGACUGCCCGAUAGAGGGGGAUAACUACUGGAAACGGUGGCUAAUACCGCAUACUAUCGGAUAACCCAUAUGGGAUUAGCUAGUAGGUGGGGUAAAGGCUCACCUAGGCGACGAUCUCUAGCUGGUCUGAGAGGAUGUUAGGCCACACUGGGACUGAGACACGGCCCAAACUCCUACGGAGGCAGCAGUGGGGAAUAUUGCACAAUGGGGGCAAGCCUGAUGCGGCCAUGCCGCGUGUAUGAAGAAGGCCUUAGGGUUGUAAAGUACUUUAAGCGGAGAGGCGUUAACCGAAGAAGAAGCACCGGCUAACUCCGUGCCAGCAGCCGAGGUAAGUAC
rnacentral:rRNA from 1 species